AUACGGAGGAUGCAAGCGUUAUCCGGAUUUAUUGGGUUUAAAGGGUGCGCAGGCGGAAAAUUAAGUCAGUGGUGAAAUCCUACAGCUUAACUGUAGAACUGCCAUUGAUACUGAUUUUCUUGAGUGCAGUUGAGGUAGGCGGAAUGUGUAAUGUAGCGGUGAAAUGCUUAGAUAUUACACAGAACACCGAUUGCGUAGGCAGCUUACUAAACUGUUACUGGCGCUCAGGCACAAAGCGUGGGGAGCGAACAGGAGUAGAAACCCGAGUAGUCC
rnacentral:rRNA from 1 species